rnacentral:sRNA from 1 species
UGUAGGAGAAGACAGACAGCUGCUUUGGACCUAUUGGUAAUGAUGGCCUGAGCUAAACAUCUAACUAGAAGGGAUACCCUUCCAUUUCAAAGAACAGAAUGCUAAGGAAGCUGUGGCAACUGCCUAAAACGUUGAAGGAGAAUCAAUUCUUCAACUCAAGAUGUCUGAUUUACUGUGAAUUUGCCCAAUCUUUGAUGACAUUGAAACGUUUUGGGGCAUACACACUCAAAAAGCAGGAUCCAAUACCCAAAAGAAAUGGAACUUAAUGUUGUGCCAAAGUUAAACUACUGCAGUUGGUGGAAGUUCUGCAAUGUAAAUAGAACACUAAUUAAAAAACAACUUGUAAAAAUUCAAUUUAAAUUUUAAGACAGUACAUUUUUAUUCUAAUAUGAUGGAGACAUUCUGAAUCUUAGACUUCCUGAGGGGGUUUAAUGACCACUAGAGCUUGUCCUCAUAUUCAGUCCAGCUUAAUACUGUGUGUCUAGUAAGAUGGGCUAUAUAUUGCCUCUAUUCUUUGACAUGUGAUUAAGCUUAGAACUUUGACCAAAAAUUUUACAGUAAAAAUUGUUAGAAAUGGGCAAAAAAAAAGAACCAAACCCUGAUUUAUUACUAUGUCUUAUUUAUCAGACCCUGCACUAAGAUUAAAAGUUGUGCAUGGGCUUAUACAAUUUCAAAUGUAAAAACAGCCUAUUUAUAUAUGUUGAAACAAUAAGAUUUUUUGGUUUCACUGGCCCUUAAUAAUUGGAUCGUUCAUUAAACACAUCCAUGAAUACC